rnacentral:rRNA from 1 species
GUAGGUGGCAAGCGUUGUCCGGAAUUAUUGGGCGUAAAGCGCGUGCAGGCGGUCCUUUAAGUCUGAUGUGAAAGCCCACGGCUCAACCGUGGAGGGUCAUUGGAAACUGGGGGACUUGAGUACAGAAGAGGAAAGCGGAAUUCCAAGUGUAGCGGUGAAAUGCGUAGAGAUUUGGAGGAACACCAGUGGCGAAGGCGGCUUUCUGGUCUGUAACUGACGCUGAGGCGCGAAAGCGUGGGGAGCAAACAGGAUUAGAUACCCUGGUAGUCCACGCCGUAAACGAUGAGUGCUAAGUGUUAGGGGGUUUCCCGCCCCCCUUAGUGCUGCAGCUAACGCAUUAAGCACUCCGCCUGGGGAGUACGGCCGCAAGGCUG